GGUUCGGUAGGCAAAUUGGCAAAGCCGUCACACUCAAAAUGUGGUGUCUGUGGGUUCGACUCCCACCCGAACUAC
rnacentral:tRNA from 1 species